GACGAACGCUGGCGGCGUGCUUAACACAUGCAAGUCGAACGGAAAGGCCCUGCUUUUGUGGGGUGCUCGAGUGGCGAACGGGUGAGUAACACGUGAGUAACCUGCCCUUGACUUUGGGAUAACUUCAGGAAACUGGGGCUAAUACCGGAUAGGAGCUCCUGCUGCAUGGUGGGGGUUGGAAAGUUUCGGCGGUUGGGGAUGGACUCGCGGCUUAUCAGCUUGUUGGUGGGGUAGUGGCUUACCAAGGCUUUGACGGGUAGCCGGCCUGAGAGGGUGACCGGCCAAAUUGGGACUGAGAUACGGCCCAGACUCCUACGGGGGGCAACAGGGGGGAAUAUUGCAAAAAGGGCGGAAGCCUGAUGCAGCAACGCCGCGGGCGGGAUGACGGCCUUCGGGGUGUAAACCGCUUUCGCCUGUGAAGAAGCGGGAGUGACGGUAAUGGGUAAAGAAGCACCGGCUAACUACGUG
rnacentral:rRNA from 1 species